AUGAAAAACGAAUCCUACUCUAUCGAGUCAUGGAAUGUACGUGGAUUAUGAGACCAGGACAAAUGUGCUAAUGUAUUCUAUGAAUUUAACCUCUUGCGCCCAUCUAUCGCUCUGCUCCAAGAAACUAAACUCAACAGACCAGACACCAUAAAACUGCGCUCGAUCUUGCCAUGUUUCCUAGAAUCCAAUAAUCACCUGGACGCAAUCUGAUCUGCAGGUGGCAUUCUCUCCGCGACCAACUCAUGUUGUUUUUCUCUCCUAAGCUGUGACCACCGGUGCUUUACCUCCACCCUAACUCUAUCCUGCCUUGCUUCACAACAUAAUAUCUCGAUCACAAACGUAUAUGCUCCUUCCCAAAGAGAUCUAAAACUAGAGUUCUUAGAAGAACUUAAACAAAUUGAACCAUAGCCAGAAUCACCCUGGUUACUCAUCGGUGACUUCAACUUAAUCUGAUUCCCUAAUGAAAAAAACAACAACAACUUCCACCGGUCCGAAGCUGAUGCGUUCAACGACACCAUUGAUCGACUUGCGCUUCUCGAACUUCCUCUCCUCGACCGCCAAUUCACAUGGUCAAAUAAGAGGACGUCUCCCACUCUAGAACGGCUUGAUCGAGUUCUUAUAAACCUAGCCUGGGAUACACUCUUCCCUAACUCACAUCUUACCUCUCUCACUCGCUUUGCCUCUGAUCAUGUACCACUCCUAGUCACCGUCUCCACAACCAUUCCAUCUUCCCGCCUUUUUCGGUUUGAACGCUUUUGGACCUCGUUCCAGGCCUGCAAAGGUAUCAUUCAAAACACUUGGCGGCCCAAUGGAGAAAACAGCCCUGUGCCUGCUGCGGACUCUGCCGCCUGCCUCGCCCAAAAUUUUAAAAAACCCGAUCGGCUCUCAAGAAUUGGUCCAAAUCACUUCGGUCCAUCUACCAAAGAGAGGCAAACUGCAAACCCGUAA
rnacentral:rRNA from 1 species